AUUGAACGCUGGCGGCAUGCCUUACACAUGCAAGUCGAACGGUAACAGGUCUUCGGAUGCUGACGAGUGGCGAACGGGUGAGUAAUACAUCGGAACGUGCCUAGUAGUGGGGGAUAACUACUCGAAAGAGUGGCUAAUACCGCAUGAGAUCUACGGAUGAAAGCAGGGGAUGGCAAGAACUUGUGCUACUGGAGCGGCCGAUGGCAGAUUAGGUAGUUGGUGGGAUAAAAGCUUACCAAGCCGACGAUCUGUAGCUGGUCUGAGAGGACGAUCAGCCACACUGGGACUGAGACACGGCCCAGACUCCUACGGGAGGCAGCAGUGGGGAAUUUUGGACAAUGGGCGAAAGCCUGAUCCAGCAAUGCCGCGUGCAGGAUGAAGGCCUUCGGGUUGUAAACUGCUUUUGUACGGAACGAAAAGCCCCGGGUUAAUACCCUGGGGUCAUGACGGUACCGUAAGAAUAAGCACCGGCUAACUACGUGCCAGCCGCCGCCGUAA
rnacentral:rRNA from 1 species